UGGGGAAUAUUGGACAAUGGGCGAAAGCCUGAUCCAGCCAUGCCGCGUGAGUGAUGAAGGCCCUAGGGUUGUAAAGCUCUUUCGCCGGUGAAGAUAAUGACGGUAACCGGUAAAGAAGCCCCGGCUAACUUCGUGCCGGCAGCCGCGGUAAUACGAAGGGGGCUAGCGUUGUUCGGAAUUACUGGGCGUAAAGCGCGCGAAGGCGGGUCAUUAAGUCAGGGGUGAAAUCCCGGGGCUCAACCUCGGAAUUGCCACUGAUACUGGUGAGCUCGAGUCCGAGAGAGGUGAGUGGAACUCCGAGUGUAGAGGUGAAAUUCGUAUAUAUUCGGAAGAACACCAGUGGCGAAGGCGGCUCACUGGCGCGGUACUGACGCUGAGGUGCGAAAGCGUGGGGAGCAAACAGGAUUAGAUACCCGUGUAGUCC
rnacentral:rRNA from 1 species